UACGGAGGGUGCGAGCGUUGUUCGGAAUUACUGGGCGUAAAGGGCGCGUAGGCGGUAGUGAUAGUCAGGUGUGAAAUCCUUCGGCUUAACCGGAGAACUGCAUCUGAAACUUCACAACUAGAGUACAGGAGAGGGAAACGGAAUUCCCGGUGUAGAGGUGAAAUUCGUAGAUAUCGGGAGGAACACCAGUGGCGAAGGCGGUUUCCUGGCCUGAUACUGACGCUGAGGCGCGAAAGCGUGGGGAGCAAACAGG
rnacentral:rRNA from 2 species